CUUGCUUGAUCCUUCUUUGUGAUUCGUUUGUGUUUUAGCUUUUAUUUUCGGAACUUUAUUAACUACAAACUUGGCUAUUCAAACGGACUCUGAUUGAUUGCAAUAACGACAUACUCAGCCUGGGAUUUACUGUUUUUGUGUGGCUCGGCCAAGGCUCGGCUGGUGGUUCUAUGGUGUUAGAAAAUGAGCAACUUAAUUAUACACAACAAUGGGCAGCACCUCGAUCGGUUACAGCUCAUGAUCUUAUAUGCACAACAUGUUGGACCCAAGCCCAAGAUACAACACAAAUGCAUCUACUUCAAAUCUUAGCAGAAAAUGUGUGCUUUGCAGUAGAACACUAGAGCCUAGAACACGUUCACAUCAGCUCAUGUCCCUGAGAACUAACACUCAACAUCAUAUUAACAUCAGGAACAUAAUUGUGGAACGACUAACUCCAUUAGAGGUUACUGCAAAUGACUACAUCUGUGGGGCUUGUCACUCAUUAUUGCAAAGAGAUACCACACCUACUUCACAAGACUCUCCAGAUAUGCCAACCGGUGCCCCGGUAGGUCACCAACAAGUUUGUGUUGGAUGUGGUUGUUCAUUAUUGCGAACUUGAAGUCAUUGUUUGGAUACAGAGAAUAAUCAAGAUAUAUUAAAAAUUGUUCGAAAUUGGAUUCAACCCAGAGAGAUUCGUCCUUCAGAUCUUCUUUGCCAUAGAUACUAUCAGAGAGCACGAAUUACUACAGUUGGUGCUUAUAUAAUGAAGCUGAGGACCGGUGAUUCAGAUGACAGAAUAGCUACAUUACUUGGCAUUUCAAGGAGUACUCUUACAAAAUAUGUAAUGAAAGCACGCAGUAUGAUGGAGGAACAUUUCGUACCAGCACAUUUAGGGUUACAACAUAUUAGUAGAGAGGAAGUAGCCCAAAGAAACCUUUAUGUUCCAGUCUCUUUUCGGGAAGCCAGGAAACGAUUUACCACAAAGAAAGGC